GGCCCCGUCGUCUAGCGGUAAGGAUCCCAGGUUUUCAUCCUGGUUACAGGAGUUCGAUUCUCCUCGGGGUCACCA
rnacentral:tRNA from 1 species